rnacentral:rRNA from 1 species
UACGAAGGGGGCUAGCGUUGCUCGGAAUCACUGGGCGUAAAGGGUGCGUAGGCGGGUCUUUAAGUCAGAGGUGAAAUCCUGGAGCUCAACUCCAGAACUGCCUUUGAUACUGAGGAUCUUGAGUUCGGGAGAGGUGAGUGGAACUGCGAGUGUAGAGGUGAAAUUCGUAGAUAUUCGCAAGAACACCAGUGGCGAAGGCGGCUCACUGGCCCGGAACUGACGCUGAGACGCGAAAGCGUGGGGAGCAAACAGG